AUUGAACGCUGGCGGCAUGCCUAACACAUGCAAGUCGAACGAGUGGCGGACGGGUGAGUAAUGUCUGGGAACCUGCCUGAUGUAGGGGGAUAACUACGGGAAACCGUAGCUACUACCGCAUACCAUCAUUUGGGCCCAGAGGGGAUUAGCUAGUUGGUGGGGUAACGGCUCACCAAGGCGACGAUCCCUAGCUGGUCUGAGAGGGUGACCGGCCACACUGGAACUGAGACACGGUCCAGACUCCUACGGGAGGCAGCAGUAGGGAAUAUUGCACAAUGGGCGAAAGUCUGAUGGAGCCACGCCGCGUGUAUGAAGAAGGUUUUCGGGUUGUAAAGUACUUUUGGCAGGGAAGCGUUACCCGCAGAAGAAGCAACGGCUAACUCCGUGCCAGCAGCCGCGGUAAUAC
rnacentral:rRNA from 1 species